UACGUAGGGGGCAAGCGUUGUCCGGAUUUAUUGGGCGUAAAGAGCGUGUAGGCGGCCAGAUAGGUCAGCUGUGAAAACUCGAGGCUCAACCUCGAGACGCCGGUUGAAACCAUCUGGCUAGAGUCCGGAAGAGGAGAGUGGAAUUCCUGGUGUAGCGGUGAAAUGCGUAGAUACCAGGAGGAACACCUGUGGUGUAGACGGCUUUCUGGACCAUAGCUGACGCUGAGACACGAAAGCGUGGGUAGCAAACAGG
rnacentral:rRNA from 1 species